GGCGGCGCGCUUAAUACAUGCAAGUCGAACGAGAAGCCAGAGCUUGCUCUAGGUGGAAAGUGGCGAACGGGUGAGUAACACGUGAGAAACCUGCCCCAAAGAUUGGGAUAAGCCUUGGAAACGAGGUCUAAUACCAAAUACCUUCCUUUAACACAUGUUAAAAGAGAAAUGCUCCGGCGCUUUGGGAUGGUCUCGCGAUCUAUCAGCUUGUUGGUGAGGUAACGACUCACCAAGGCAUCGACGGAUAGCUGGUCUGAGAGGAUGUCCAGCCACAUUGGAACUGAGACACGGUCCAAACUCCUACGGGAGGCAGCAGUAGGGAAUCUUGCACAAUGAGGGAAACCUUGAUGCAGCGACGCCGCGUGCGGGACGAAGGCCCUAGGGUUGUAAACCGCUUUCAGUAGGGACGAAAGUGACGGUACCUACAGAAGAAGCCCCGGCCAACUAUGUG
rnacentral:rRNA from 1 species